CGAUGAACCUCCUUCGGGAGGGGAUUAGUGGCGAACGGGUGAGUAACACGUGGGCAAUCUGCCCUGCACUCUGGGACAAGCCCUGGAAACGGGGUCUAAUACCGGAUACGAGUUUCACAGGCAUCUGUGAUUCUGGAAAGCUCCGGCGGUGCAGGAUGAGCCCGCGGCCUAUCAGCUUGUUGGUGAGGUAACGGCUCACCAAGGCGACGACGGGUAGCCGGCCUGAGAGGGCGACCGGCCACACUGGGACUGAGACACGGCCCAGACUCCUACGGGAGGCAGCAGUGGGGAAUAUUGCACAAUGGGCGCAAGCCUGAUGCAGCGACGCCGCGUGAGGGAUGACGGCCUUCGGGUUGUAAACCUCUUUCAGCAGGGAAGAAGCGAAAGUGACGGUACCUGCAGAAGAAGCGCCGGCUAACUACGUGCCAGCAGCCGCGGUAAUACGUAGGGCGCAAGCGUUGUCCGGAAUUAUUGGGCGUAAAGAGCUCGUAGGCGGCUUGUCGCGUCGGAUGUGAAAGCCCGGGGCUUAACCCCGGGUCUGCAUUCGAUACGGGCAGGCUAGAGUUCGGUAGGGGAGAUCGGAAUUCCUGGUGUAGCGGUGAAAUGCGCAGAUAUCAGGAGGAACACCGGUGGCGAAGGCGGAUCUCUGGGCCGAUACUGACGCUGAGGAGCGAAAGCGUGGGGAGCGAACAGGAUUAGAUACCCUGGUAGUCCACGCCGUAAACGGUGGGCACUAGGUGUGGGCAACAUUCCACGUUGUCCGUGCCGCAGCUAACGCAUUAAGUGCCCCGCC
rnacentral:rRNA from 1 species